rnacentral:piRNA from 1 species
CCCUAACACAAGCAGGUGAAGCUGUGGGAC